rnacentral:rRNA from 1 species
GACGAACGCUGGCGGCGUGCCUAAUACAUGCAAGUCGAACGCAGUGGGGACUGUUUAGUAACACGUGGGUUCCCUCCCAUCAGAGGGGAUAACGCUUGGAAACAGGUGCUAAACCGAUACUGAUGGAUGGUCCCGCGGUUAAUUAGCUAGUUGGUGAGGUAACGGCUCACCAAGGCCACGAUUCAUAGCCGGUCUGAGAGGGUGAUCAGACACACUGGGACUGAGACACGGCCCAGACUCCUACGGGAGGCAGCAGUAGGGAAUAUUCGACAAUGGACGAAAGCCUGACCGAGCAAUGCCGCGUGAGUGAAGAAGGUUUUCGGAUUGUAAAAUUCUGUUGGUCGAGAGGCGGUAUCGAACCAGGAAGCACCGGCUAACUCCGUGCCAGCAGCCGCGGUAAUUC